GAUGAACGCUAGCUACAGGCUUAACACAUGCAAGUCGAGGGACCGGCGCACGGGUGAGUAACACGUAUCCAACCUGCCCUUUACUCGGGGAUAGCCUUACGAAAGAAAGAUUAAUACCCGAUGUAAAGGAUGGGGAUGCGUUCCAUUAGGUUGUUGGUGAGGUAACGGAUCACCAAGCCUUCGAUGGAUAGGGGUUCGGAGAGGAAGGUCCCCCGCAUUGGAACUGAGACCCGGACCAAACUCCGAGGGGGGACAGGAGUGAGGAAUAUUGGUCAAUGGGCGUUAGCCUGGACCAGCCAAGUAGCGUGAAGAAUGAAGGCUUAUGGAUCGUAAACUUCUUUUAUAUAAGAAUAUGUAUUAUAUGAAUAAGGAUCGGCUAACUCCGUGCCAGCCGCCGCGGUAAUUC
rnacentral:rRNA from 1 species